AUGCUCGAUUUCGGCAGUAAAGACGCCAUGAGCAAGCUCUUCUCCAUGACAUGCGAGCCCCCGACGCACCGGCCCCGCGACCCCGCGGCCCCUGCCCCCGCCUGGGUGCUCCUCGAGCCGCAGGCGUACCUCGCAGACGUGAGGAAUGCCACCACCGCGGAGGCCUUCUCAAGUGCCGGCCACACCGUCCAGGUCACCGUCUGUGCCGCGGACCCGCUGGACGUCUCCUACCUAUGCGUUCACUGCCCCGGAGUCCCAGAGGCCAACUGCGACAGGCCCAGCAUCGUUUGCUCGGAGAAGGACUUUCUCGUCCUCUCCGUCCUCUUCCUGCCCGCCCUCAGAGGGCGUGAGUACUUCGUCUACAAGGCAGGCCCCGUGCCGUCAUUGCGCCUACUCCCGAGCCCCUACCCGCGCGUCCUCACAUCUUCGGAUCUUGGCCUCCUGCCACAAGAUGACGGUGACCAUUUCGUCUUGGCCGUGUUGUGCUACUUACCGGCCCCUUGGGAUUUCGCCCUCCAUGUUUUCUCCUCCAGGACCUGGGCUUGGAGUCGUAAAGUGCUGCAUGUGGAGGUGUCAUCUGAUGUCAGAGCGCAGAUGUCAUCGAUUCAAGCUUACAAGGUGAUUCAGUUUGGAGAAGGCACACUUGGAUGGGUUGAUCUCUGGAGGGGGAUUCUGUUCUGCAACGUGCUCGACGAAAUGCCUGUGGCACGCUUCAUCACGUUGCCUAAGGUGAUGGCUGGCAACACAGACAACGUGAAAUCGUCCGCGUGGCCGCUUCGAAAUGUUGCAUAUAGAAAUGGUAUGAUCAAGUUUGUUGAGAUAGAAAAAUAUGAAAGAUCAGAUGUCAACGAAAGGUUGUAUGAAGACUUGGAUACACCCUAUGAGUCACAUUGCUUGAUGAACCCCAAAGAAAUGGGUUGGAGGGCCAUGACUUGGUAUAGGAUGACUUCUUAGGACCAUUGGAGCCAGGGAUUCAUGGCUUAUGACAAGGAAAUCUCAGUUGAUUACUCAAGUCAUUCUAAGUUGUUGCCUGACCUGCCUUUGAGUGACACCUAUGUAAGAGAGUUGACAUUGAAGGACAUGCUCGCAUCUCACCCUGUCCUGAGCUUGACCUGUGAUUGUGAUGAUAUUGUUUACUUGUUGUGUAAAUCCAAAUUUUGCAACAUAAAGACAUGGAUGAUCGCUGUUGACCUAAAAAAGAAGAUGUUGGUUGAUUUGGCACCAUUUUCUCUCAAAGGAUAUUUUACCCCAGCCCACCCUUCUGGAUUGUCCAAAUAUCUGAAUAUAACUCCAGCAAUGGAAGGUAGUUCAGGAGGACACUGA
rnacentral:rRNA from 1 species